rnacentral:siRNA from 1 species
CCAAAAUGUGAAAGGUCAUGC